ensembl:processed_transcript
AGAAGACGUAAGAGGUAGGGCUGCCGUAGGCGCGGCGUCCCUGGUGCUGCUGGCCCGGGCGCCUCGGGUUCUGCCCGUAGUCUUAGGUGAGCAAAGGCCGGGCAAUGGGGAGUAAUUGCUGGGUGCAGGUAGCUGGAGUCCAGCGCGCUCACCCCGACGCCCGCCCAACGGCUCUGCUCCAGCCUGGGAUGCUGACCCGGGCCUGAGCCUGGGGCGGCUGGUGGGUGGGAGACCAGAGAGCAGCAGAAAUGUGCUUUCCAGCCCUAGUGCGGUUUGCCCCGGGUUAACGGAGGAGUGAGAUGAGAGGAUCACUCCUAACAGUCGCAGCAGGCUAACAAAACAAUAAUAAACCAGGAAACCACUGGGCUAAUUACAUCGGGAGAAUGACGACUGCUCUAAGGUUGAGAGACAAGAGAGAUCUCUUCAUAGUGAUGGAAAAAAAAACAAACAAACCAAACAACAACAAUAAAACCAAAAAAGACAUCCCAGCCAGGACUCCUGGAGAUAAGUUCCAACUCCUCUCAGGGAGGAAACCUUAUGUCUACUUCACACAAUGCUUGUAACUUUGUUCCAAUAAGAGACUGAGCUAACGUGUGUUAUGGCUCCACAAGCACUUACCACUGAGCCUGACAGAUGACAGAGAUUCCCAGAAACCACAUGGAAAAAAGAACCAACUCCAGCAAGUUGUUCCCUGACCUCUCUGCCCAUGCACCUUGGACAUACUUGUGCACACAUGAUCACAAAAUACUUGUAAUAAAACAUGUUUUAAAGAUG